rnacentral:rRNA from 1 species
ACACGCAUGACACACUGCAUAUCAAUAAGCGGAGGAAAAGAAACUAACAAGGAUUCCCCUAGUAACGGCGAUGUGAAGCGGGAAGAGCUCAAAUUUGAAAUCUUAAAGGGUUUUCCCUUUACGAAUUGUAGUUUAAAGAAGUGUUUUCUGUUGGAGUUUCGGUAAAAGUUCUUUGGAAUAGGACAUCAUAGAGGGUGAGAAUCCCGUAUUUGACCGUUACUUUCCAGCUGUGUGAUACACUUUCAAAGAGUCGGAUUGUUUGGGAAUGCAGUCCAAAAUGGGUGGUAAAUUUCAUCUAAAGCUAAAUAUUGGCGAGAGACCGAUAGCGAACAAGUACCGUGAGGGAAAGAUGAAAGGAACUUUGAAAAGAGAGUUAAACAGUACGUGAAAUUGUCAAAAGGGAAGCGUUUGACACCAGUUUUGUUUAGUUGAAAAUCAAUUCAAUAAUUUUUGAUUUUAAGUAGUAUUGACUUCAUCAGCUUGCUGCUUUCUUUUCAGGAAUUAUUGAAUGCACUUUUCAGUUAACAAGUCAACAUCAAUUUCUUUUGUUGUAAAAGGGUAAGAGGAAGGUGGCUUACGCUUCGGCGUAAGUGUUUAUAGCCUUUUACCUCUGCAAUCGGAGAGAUUGAGGACAGGCAGCGUAGACUCUUCGGGGUUAGAUACACUUGUGCUAAGCUAUAGCCUUGUAUAGACAACUUGUUGACUAUGCUCAGUCAUGUAGCUUACUCGCUUGUGCUAUUUUACCUACGCUUAGGAUGUUGAACUACUGAGACAUAGA